rnacentral:rRNA from 1 species
AUUGAACGCUGGCGGACGGCCUAACACAUGCAAGUCGAACGAGUGGCGGACGGGUGAGUCAUGUCUGGGAAAAUGCCUGAUGGAUGGGGAUAACUACUGGAAACGGUAGCUAAUACAGCAUAACAUCAGAUGUGCCCAGAUGGGAUUAGCUUGUUGGUGGGGUAACGGCUCACCAAGGCGACGAUCCCUAGCUGGUCUUAGAGGAUGACCAGCCACACUGGAACUGUGACACGGUCCAGCCUCCUACGGGAGGCAGCAGUGGGGAAUAUUUCAAAAUGGGCGCAAGCCUUAUUCAGCCAUGCCGCGUGUAUGAAGAAGGCCUUCGGGUGGUAAAGUACUUGCAGCGGGGAUGCGUUACCCGCAGAAUAAGCACCGGCUAACUCCGUGCCAGCAGCCGCGGUAAUUC